rnacentral:rRNA from 1 species
UGGGGAAUAUUGCACAAUGGGCGCAAGCCUGAUGCAGCCAUGCCGCGUGUAUGAAGAAGGCCUUCGGGUUGUAAAGUACUUUCAGCGGGGAGGAAGGGAGUAAAGUUAAUACCUUUACUCAUUGACGUUACCCGCAGAAGAAGCACCGGCUAACUCCGUGCCAGCAGCCGCGGUAAUACGGAGGGUGCAAGCGUUAAUCGGAAUUACUGGGCGUAAAGCGCACGCAGGCGGUCUGUCAAGUCGGAUGUGAAAUCCCCGGGCUCAACCUGGGAACUGCAUUCGAAACUGGCAGGCUAGAGUCUUGUAGAGGGGGGUAGAAUUCCAGGUGUAGCGGUGAAAUGCGUAGAGAUCUGGAGGAAUACCGGUGGCGAAGGCGGCCCCCUGGACAAAGACUGACGCUCAGGUGCGAAAGCGUGGGGAACAAACAGG